UACAAUUGGUCAAAAAGAUCGUCGAUUUGAGGUAGGGGAUAUUUCCUCUUUAUUGUUACUUGGUUGAGUUUCUCAGUAGUCUACGUAUAGUCUGAGGGAGCCAUCCUUUUUUUUUCACAAAUAACACCAGAGCACCCCAAGGGGAGUGACUAGAGCAAAUAAACUUCUGGCCAAUAAGCUCAAAAAGCUAUUUUUCCAGUUCUACGAGCUCAGCACAAC
rnacentral:lncRNA from 1 species